rnacentral:rRNA from 1 species
AAUUCCAGCUCCCAAUAGCGUAUAUUAAAGUUGUUGCAGUUAAAAAGCUCGUAGUUGAACCUUGGGUCUGGCUGGCCGGUCCGCCUCACCGCGAGUACUGGUCCGGCUGGACCUUUCCUUCUGGGGAACCUCAUGGCCUUCACUGGCUGUGGGGGGAACCAGGACUUUUACUGUGAAAAAAUUAGAGUGUUCAAAGCAGGCCUUUGCUCGAAUACAUUAGCAUGGAAUAAUAGAAUAGGACGUGUGGUUCUAUUUUGUUGGUUUCUAGGACCGCCGUAAUGAUUAAUAGGGAUAGUCGGGGGCGUCAGUAUUCAGCUGUCAGAGGUGAAAUUCUUGGAUUUGCUGAAGACUAACUACUGCGAAAGCAUUCGCCAAGGAUGUUUUCAUUAAUCAGGGAACGAAAGUUAGGGGAUCGAAGACGAUCAGAUACCGUCGUAGUCUUAACCAUAAACUAUGCCGACUAGGGAUCGGACGGGAUUCUAUAAUGACCCGUUCGGCACCUUACGAGAAAUCAAAGUUUUUGGGUUCUGGGGGGAGUAUGGUCGCAAGGCUGAAACUUAAAGAAAUUGACGGAAGGGCACCACAAGGCGUGGAGCCUGCGGCUUAAUUUGACUCAACACGGGGAAACUCACCAGGUCCAGACAAAAUAAGGAUUGACAGAUUGAGAGCUCUUUCUUGAUCUUUUGGAUGGUGGUGCAUGGCCGUUCUUAGUUGGUGGAGUGAUUUGUCUGCUUAAUUGCGAUAACGAACGAGACCUCGGCCCUUAAAUAGCCCGGUCCGCAUUUGCGGGCCGCUGGCUUCUUAGGGGGACUAUCGGCUCAAGCCGAUGGAAGUGCGCGGCAAUAACAGGUCU